UAUAUAGACUGCAGUAACUGCUCAGUAACUCAGUAGCACCAGCGACAUCAUGAGAACUCUCUGGCUGAUCAUCUUUGUAUUGGCGUGUGUGUGGCAGUGUGCGCUUGCGCAGGGCAGCAUAGACAAGUGCGGCCUCACGCAGGAGAUGUACAAGAAUCUCAAGAGCUAUGUAUUAAGCAAGUUUCCACUCUUAAUCGCUACAGACAUAUUGGAUAAAGUAUUUGCUAGUUAAAUCAAAGGUUGAAUGCAAUCUUGUCCGCACCAAUUUCGUAUUAAUUACCUAUCUAUGCUGUAAUAAAUGUAUGAACUGUAAUAAAGUAUGCGUUUGAGAUAACA
rnacentral:lncRNA from 1 species